rnacentral:rRNA from 1 species
UACGUAGGGUGCAAGCGUUAAUCGGAAUUACUGGGCGUAAAGCGUGCGCAGGCGGUUAUAUAAGACAGUUGUGAAAUCCCCGGGCUCAACCUGGGAAUGGCAUUGGAAACUGGCGGACUCGAGUGUGGCAGAGGGGGGUGGAAUUCCGCGUGUAGCAGUGAAAUGCGUAGAGAUGCGGAGGAACACCGAUGGCGAAGGCAGCCCCCUGGGCUAACACUGACGCUCAGGCACGAAAGCGUGGGGAGCAAACAGG